GGCCGCGGGAAUUCGAUUUUGGAGGGCAAGUCUGGUGCCAGCAGCCGCGGUAAUUCCAGCUCCAAUAGCGUAUAUUAAAGUUGUUGUGGUUAAAAAGCUCGUAGUUGAACCUUGGGCCUGGCUGGCCGGUCCGCCUCACCGCGUGCACUGGUCCGGCCGGGCCUUUCCCUCUGCGGAACCCCAUGCCCUUCACUGGGUGUGGCGGGGAAACCAGGACCUUUACCUUGAAAAAAUUAGAGUGUUCAAAGCAGGCUUACGUCUGAAUACAUUAGCAUGAAAUAAUAAAAUAGGACGGUGGUCCUGUUUUGUUGGUUUCUGAAUCACCGUAAUGAUUAAUAGGGAUAGUUGGGGGCAUUAGUAUUCAAUUGUCAGAGGUGAAAUUCUUGGAUUUAUUGAAGACUAACUUCUGCGAAAGCAUUUGCCAAGGAUGUUUUCAUUAAUCAAGAACGAAAGUUAGGGGAUCGAAGACNAUCANAUACCGUCGUANUCUUAACCAUAAACUAUGCC
rnacentral:rRNA from 1 species